CAUCGUGCGUCCAUGCCUGCCCGACGCUGAUCAUUUUGCAAAAAAGCCCUUAAACUAAUUGAUAAUUUGGUUUUAGAUCUCUGGUAUACAGUUUCUACGUUCUACGUUAUUACGUAUAGGACCUCUAAAAAAGAAAUAUUCUAAUCAAAGAAGCAAAAAACAGAAAAUAGGACUGCGCUCGAAAACAUAGAAACUAAGGGGGUUUUCUGCAACAACUUGCAUCCCUAUCCCGGUCCCUCACCCCACGAAACCCUAGCCGCCGCCGUUCCGUCACCUCUCUCUUCUCGCUCGCUCUCCCUAGACCACACCGCCGCAUCCGCCUCCGCCUCCGACCACUCUUCUUGCACCCAGCCAAAUCGCCGCACCUCCCCCUUGCCACCGCGAGGCCAGUUCCGGCGGAGGGUAGACCGUGCUCGCCGGAUUCGGGUAGCCACGACCUCCUUGCCGGCGGAUCCGGUCACCCGGAGGCAAGGGCAGGGCUAGCACAUGAGGCUCAUCGGCAGUGUCGCGGUUCUUAGCAAAUAACUCAGAUUUCCUUGAGCAUAUCAUUUCAGGAUAAAAAGCAUAAGAGGUGGUCGACCAUCUAUAGUUGCUUUGCCUCUCACACGAGCCACGAAUGAAGCUCCACAGCUUAGCGGCAAUUGUAUACCAGUAGAUGAUGCUGGUUUUGUUUGCCAUCAGUCAUCUUGAUUACCUUGGUGCACAUGAUAUCAUCUGUUUAUUUGAAAGAAAACUAAAUUUCGAUUCGGUGACUACUUUACAGAUGAACACUCGACAUGAAUGUGUUUACGCACAAAAAGUAUUUGGCAAUGCGCCAAUGUGUUUUCCUGCAGUUUAGAUUGGCUAACAGUAGAUACUGCUGGUUUUGUUUGCCAUUAGACCUCUUGAUUACCUUGGUGCACACAGAUAUAAUCUGUUUAGAUAUAAUCUGUUUAUUUAAAAGGAAACUGAAUCUUGAUUUGGUGGUUAGUGAACAGUUGAACACUCAACAUGAAUGUUUAUGCAUAAAAAGUAUUAUGUCCUUUGUAGAUUCUUAUGGUUAGCCAGAGGCUAUAAUUAGAAGACGAUGUCUUUGGGAAGGUAGGUAGGGCUGUUCAGCCCCAAACAAUUGUUGAUCAGCUAUACUGAUCCCUUUUUCAUGUUGCAAAACCUUUUAUCCUAUGCCUUCUUUUGCUCAAUUGGCCUAACAACCAAGGGAUAAAUAGAAAUUGCCACAGGAUCUUCUUACAACGAUGGAAAGUUCAUUUGUAAUAAUCAUUUUACUACCUCAAUAGGAAAAACAAAACAUAGAGCGAGCUUUUAUAGCCUGAGGCUGUGUUUAGUUCAGCGCAAAGUUUGGAUUUUGGUUGAAAUUGGAGAUGAUGUGACUGAAAAGUUGUGUGUGUAUGACAGGUUGAUGUGAUGGAAAAGGACUGAAGUUUGGAUCCAAACUUUGGAUCUAAACACAGCCUAAAUGUGAAACUAAUUCUGUGAGUAGAUGAGGUUCUGUGAUAAUUUUCUUGAGCAUAAGUGCACGUUUUGAUGUUCUCUAUCUGCAUUUUCUUGUAUGCUUUCCCCUUUUGUGCAGAUAAAUAACUGGCAAGAUAUUGGAAUGCCUAAGAAUGGUACAAAACUAAGAGCAAGAACUUUCGGUGCCAAUACAACACUGCCAGCCUUUGGUCAUGAAAACAUUAGAGAAUCAACUUAGACAUCACCAUAUCUUACAGGUGGGCUUAAAGUAUAUAAUAAACAAAGUGGAACAAGUCAUGAAUGUCAUGCCUAAUUGUUGUUGUUUUAACCAGGCAACAAACUCAGGAAAUCGAGAUGCACACUUCAAAUGAUCUGUUUGAUCAUGCAGAGUUAUAAAAAAGGUGGCGUGGUGGUCUUGCAUAGGUGGGUUUCAAAGUUUCUAUAUCAGUUUUUCAUUGAUGUGGUUCAAGUGUUAAAUUUCCUUGGGUUUUCUGCUCAGAAUUGUAGAUUUUCUUUACUGAAAACUGCAAGCGACAAGUUCUGUUCCAUUGGUCAAUAUAAUCUUUUUAGUGAUAUUCUGCAAGAUGUUUAGUCAAAUCCAUGACUAUUAUAUCCAGACUAGAACCAAAUUUAUACCACAAAAUAUAGUAUUUAUUGCUGAGGUCGUAGGGUUUAUUUGUAAUAAAAUGUGUUCUUUUUUAUUUUAUGUAUGUAUGACUACCUGCCUUUGUUUAAUUUAUUUCUCGCAUGCUUGUUUUCUAUACAUAUCUAACUUUCAUGUAACCUCUGUUUUUUUACCUGUCUUGUUGCCGGCAGCGCGGCAACGGCGCGCGCCACCCCUAGUAUAAUUUUCACGCAACGCGAUUCCGACUUUCCUAGCUUUGUUUUCCCUUCUCAUUUGGAAAUGCUGUUUUUUUUUAUGGAACUAGCUCACGACUAAAAUAGUAUUAUAACAUAUCUUAUAGUGAAAAA